rnacentral:rRNA from 1 species
UGGGGAAUAUUGGGCAAUGGGGGAAACCCUGACCCAGCAACGCCGCGUGAAGGAAGAAGGCCUUCGGGUUGUAAACAUUCUUUUAUCCACGGGAGCGAAGGACGUGACGGUACCUGGAGAAAAAUGCAACGGCUAACUACGUGCCAGCAGCCGCGGUAAUACGUAGGUUGCGAGCGUUGUCCGGAUUUACUGGGUGUAAAGGGCGUGUAGGCGGAGAAGCAAGUUGGGAGUGAAAUCUAUGGGCUCAACCCAUAAACUGCUCUCAAAACUGUUUCCCUUGAGUAUCGGAGAGGCAAGCGGAAUUCCUAGUGUAGCGGUGAAAUGCGUAGAUAUUAGGAGGAACACCAGUGGCGAAGGCGGCUUGCUGGACGACAACUGACGCUGAGGCGCGAAAGCGUGGGGAGCAAGCAGGAUUAGAUACCC